CAUGCAAGUCGAGCGGUAACAGAAAGUAGCUUGCUACUUUGCUGACGAGCGGCGGACGGGUGAGUAAUGCUUGGGAACAUGCCUUGAGGUGGGGGACAACAGUUGGAAACGACUGCUAAUACCGCAUAAUGUCUACGGACCAAAGGGGGCUUCGGCUCUCGCCUUUAGAUUGGCCCAAGUGGGAUUAGCUAGUUGGUGAGGUAAUGGCUCACCAAGGCAACGAUCCCUAGCUGGUUUGAGAGGAUGAUCAGCCACACUGGGACUGAGACACGGCCCAGACUCCUACGGGAGGCAGCAGUGGGGAAUAUUGCACAAUGGGCGCAAGCCUGAUGCAGCCAUGCCGCGUGUGUGAAGAAGGCCUUCGGGUUGUAAAGCACUUUCAGUCAGGAGGAAAGGUUAGUAGUUAAUACCUGCUAGCUGUGACGUUACUGACAGAAGAAGCACCGGCUAACUCCGUGCCAGCAGCCGCGGUAAUACGGAGGGUGCGAGCGUUAAUCGGAAUUACUGGGCGUAAAGCGUACGCAGGCGGUUUGUUAAGCGAGAUGUGAAAGCCCCGGGCUCAACCUGGGAACUGCAUUUCGAACUGGCAAACUAGAGUGUGAUAGAGGGUGGUAGAAUUUCAGGUGUAGCGGUGAAAUGCGUAGAGAUCUGAAGGAAUACCGAUGGCGAAGGCAGCCACCUGGGUCAACACUGACG
rnacentral:rRNA from 1 species